AUGGUAGGAUAGAGGCCUACCAUGGUGGUAACGGGUAACGGGGUGUUAGGGCACGACACCGGAGAGGGAGCCUGAGAAACGGCUACCACAUCCAAGGAUGGCAGCAGGCGCGCAAAUUACCCAAUCCCGACACGGGGAGGUAGUGACAAUAAAUAACAAUACGGGGUUCUUUAGGAUCUCGUAAUUGGAAUGAGUACAAUUUAAAUCUCUUAACGAGGAACAAUUGGAGGGCAAGUCUGGUGCCAGCAGCCGCGGUAAUUCCAGCUCCAAUAGCGUAUAUNAAAGUUGUUGCAGUUAAAAAGCUCGUAGUUGAAUUUCGGGGUCAGUAGGUCGGUCGUGCCACUGGUAUGAACUGGUUUUACUGAUUCCUCCCUCUUGAAGAACUGUAAUGCCAUUAAUUUGGUGUUGCAGGGAAUCAGGACUGUUACUUUGAAAAAAUUAGAGUGUUUAAAGCAGGCUUUAGCUUGGAUACAUUAGCAUGGAAUAAUGAAAUAGGACGUUUGAUCCUAUUUUGUUGGUUUCUAGGAUUGACGUAAUGAUUAAUAGGGAUAGUUGGGGGCAUUAGUAUUCAAUUGUCAGAGGUGAAAUUCUUGGAUUUAUUGAAGACUAACUACUGCGAAAGCAUUUGCCAAGGAUGUUUUCAUUAAUCAAGAACGAAAGUUAGGGGAUCGAAGACGAUCAGAUACCGUCGUAGUCUUAACCAUAAACUAUGCCGACUAGGGAUCGGAUGAUGUUAAUUUUUUAAUGACUCAUUCGGCGCCUUACGGGAAACCAAAGUGUUUGGG
rnacentral:rRNA from 1 species